CUUGGGUGAUCCUGCCGGACCCGACUGCUAUCGGAUUGAGAUUUAGCCAUGCGAGUCGAACGUCCCCCUGUUGCGGGGGGCGUGGCGUACGGCUCAGUAACACGUAGUCAACCUGCCCUGGAGACAAGGACAACCCCGGGAAACUGGGAUUAAUCCUUGAUAGGUCAUCUCAUCUGGAAGGAGAGAUGGCUUAAAGGGGUACGCGGGCUUCUUCCGCGAAUCUGCUCCAGGAUGGGACUGCGUCCGAUCAGGCUGUUGGCGGGGUAAUGGCCCACCAAACCUGUAACCGGUACGGGCCUUGAGAGAGGUGGCCCGGAGAUGGACACUGAGAGAAGGGUCCAGGUCCUACGGGGCGCAGCAGGCGCGAAACCUUCGCAAUGCGCGAAAGCGUGACGAGGUUAAUCCGAGUGACUCCCGCUGAGGGGGUCUUUUGUCAGCUGUAAAUAGGCAGGCGAAUAAGGGGAGGGCAAGCCUGGUGUCAGCCGCCGCGGUAAUACCAGCUCCUCGAGUGGUCGGGGCGAUUAUUGGGCCUAAAGCAUCCGUAGCCGGUUCCGUAGGUCCUCUGUUAAAUCCAACCGCUUAACGGUUGACCUGCAGAGGAUACCGCGGGACUAGGAGGCGGGAGAGGCGGACGGUACUCCGCGUGUAGGGGUAAAAUCCUUUGAUCCGCGGAAGACCACCAGUGGCGAAGGCGGUCCGCCAGAACGCGCUCGACGGUGAGGGAUGAAAGCUGGGGGAGCGAACCGGAUUAGAUACCCGGGUAGUCCCAGCCGUAAACGAUGCUAGCUAGAUGAUUCAUUCGCAAGUCGCGAAUGAAGUGUCGCAGGGAAGCCGUUAAGCUAGCCGCCUGGGAAGUACGGACGCAAGUCUGAAACUUAAAGGAAUUGGCGGGGGAGCA
rnacentral:rRNA from 1 species